rnacentral:rRNA from 1 species
UACGGAGGGAGCUAGCGUUAUUCGGAAUUACUGGGCGUAAAGCGUGCGCAGGCGGUGAUGUAAGACAGGUGUGAAAUCCCCGGGCUUAACCUGGGAACUGCAUUUGUGACUGCAUCGCUGGAGUGCGGCAGAGGGGGAUGGAAUUCCGCGUGUAGCAGUGAAAUGCGUAGAUAUGCGGAGGAACACCGAUGGCGAAGGCAAUCCCCUGGGCCUGCACUGACGCUCAUGCACGAAAGCGUGGGGAGCAAACAGG